rnacentral:rRNA from 1 species
AACGAACGCUGGCGGCAUGCCUAACACAUGCAAGUCGAACGAGACCUUCGGGUCUAGUGGCGCACGGGUGCGUAACGCGUGGGAACCUGCCCUUAGGUUCGGAAUAACUCCCCGAAAGGGGUGCUAAUACCGGAUAAUGUCUUCGGACCAAAGAUUUAUCGCCUUUGGAUGGGCCCGCGUUGGCUUAGCUAGUUGGUAGGGUAAAAGCCUACCAAGGCGACGAUCCAUAGCUGGUCUGAGAGGAUGAUCAGCCACACUGGGACUGAGACACGGCCCAGACUCCUACGGGAGGCAGCAGUGGGGAAUAUUGGACAAUGGGCGAAAGCCUGAUCCAGCAAUGCCGCGUGAGUGAUGAAGGCCUUAGGGUUGUAAAGCUCUUUUACCCGGGAUGAUAAUGACAGUACCGGGAGAAUAAGCACCGGCUAACUGCGUG